ACAGAUCACAUUUCUUCGUCUUCCUCAAUGGCUGGCAAGUUCCCUAAUUCAUUAUCCGGAUUUCCUUCCAUUCUUGUCCAGAGCGGCAGUAGUCCAGCUCAUUCUCCGCAGUGGAAGAAUUCUGUUAGGACCACCACUUCCCAAGUUCCUUCCCCAUCUCUUUCCUCCACUUCAUCAUCCUUAAAAAACCUUCCCCAACAGCAAGGCCGUGUCCAGCAAGGCCAUGCACAGAUAUCAUUUGCAUCCAACCCAAAACCAUCAGCUGCCCCUCAAGGGCAAUCAGCUCCAAGUAGUACC
rnacentral:lncRNA from 1 species